CUCCACUGGUCUGGCGGCUGCGCCUCGGGAGGGCCUGGCGGAGACCCGGACCUGCGGCGCCUGAAAGCGGGUCCGAACAGCUCGCUGCCCUUCCCAUCCCCCUUUGUCGCUCACUUCCUCCUCCCGUUCCUUCCUUCGUCCCUUGCUUCCCCCCACCUCCCGCGGCGGCUGCGCCGGCCUGACAGCGAAUCUGCCGCGAACCCCGAAGCUGCGCGAACCGCCCGCCGCGCCGCCCGCCGGCCCCGCCUCCUCCCGGCUCUUCCUUCCUCCGUGCGCCCCCGGCGGGGCCGGCGGAACUGGCCGCGGCCCCCGAUCGUUCACCGGUGAUGGGAGGCCGGCCGUUCGGGAAGAGGACGUGACUGUCGGCGAGGAGGCGCUCUUCUGCCCGGGGAAGCGCCUGGAGCGGAGAGCCGGUGAGAGCUGGCCCCUGGCGGUGUCCCCGCGGCCGGGGGGCUGCGGUAGUUCCUCAGUCCGGGAGGUGGUAAAAAAUUCCAGAAGGGACCUGAGAACGCUGCAGCUGUUCACUGGAAACCAGGAGGAAUAGAAUAAUUGGAAAAUGUGUCAGGGGAAGAAGGAGAGGACAUAGUAAAAGCACAUCGAGACUAAGACCAAGACCAAGGCAAAAGCACUUAAGAGUAUGCCCUUCCAAAGUGAUGAAUCAUGGAAAGAAUGAUUACGACGAGAAACGAAACCCUCAGAUUUCUUCAGUUACAACCAAGUGGGCAGGAACGUCGGAAAAGGAUCCCAGGCUGGUUAGAGGCAUUAGGUUGUCAGUUUGAAUCCCAGUGAUCCAGAAGGAAAUGCGGUUAAUAACCACCUAACAGUGGAGAAAAAAGGAACUCAAGGAGAUUGGAGAACCGGACAGUAUCCCAUGGCUAGCUUAUUUGGAAAGCCUCAGUCUUUCUGGUAGUUGCAAGACGUAGCCAGGGGCUGGUAAGUUCCCUCUCUGAUACUUUCUCUUGCACCUUGAGAGCUGGCAGGAAGGGAAGCUCCUGGACUUUAAUAGACGUGGAUCUUGGUUGAAGUCUCUGUGGGAAAGCCAACAAGAGUCGAAAUCUUCUCAGUAUCACCACUGCCUCUCUACCAAGGUGCUUUCCUUCCAACAUCACAGAUCAUAACUGAGAAAGGCAGAAACACUCCAGAUGUCUUCCAAUAGUUACCAAGUUUCUGUCCCAAUGUCAAAAAGAAACACCAAUUGCAUCCCGGAGACAACCUCCAAUGACCUGAAGACAUUUACUGGAGGAGCUGUGUUAAGUUUUCAUAACAUCUGCUAUCGAGUAAAAGUGAAGAGUGGCUUUCUACUUUGUCGGAAAACAGUUGAGAAAGAAAUACUAAAGAAUGUCAAUGGGAUCAUGAAACCUGGCCUCAAUGCCAUUCUGGGACCCACAGGUGGAGGCAAAUCUUCGUUGUUAGAUGUCUUAGCUGCAAGGAAAGAUCCACAUGGAUUAUCUGGAGAUGUUCUGAUCAACGGACAACCUCGACCUGCCAAUUUUAAAUGUAACUCAGGUUAUGUGGUACAAGAUGAUGUCGUGAUGGGAACUCUGACAGUGAGAGAAAACUUACAGUUCUCGGCAGCUCUCCGGCUUCCAACAACUAUGACAAAUCAUGAAAAAAAUGCACGGAUUAACAUGGUCAUUCAAGAGUUAGGUCUGGAUAAAGUGGCAGAUUCCAAGGUUGGAACUCAGUUUAUCCGUGGUGUGUCUGGAGGAGAAAGAAAAAGGACUAGUAUUGCAAUGGAGCUUAUUACUGAUCCAUCCAUCUUGUUCCUGGAUGAGCCCACAACUGGCUUAGAUUCAAGCACAGCAAAUGCUGUCCUUUUGCUUCUGAAGAGGAUGUCUAAACAAGGACGGACAAUCAUCUUCUCCAUUCAUCAGCCUCGUUAUUCCAUCUUCAAGUUGUUUGAUAGCCUUACCUUGUUGGCCUCAGGAAGAUUAAUGUUCCACGGGCCUGCUCAGGAGGCCUUGGGUUACUUUGCAUCCACUGGUUACCACUGUGAGCCCUAUAAUAACCCUGCAGACUUCUUCCUGGACGUCAUUAAUGGAGACUCCUGUGCUGUGGUGUUAAACAGAGAAGACACAGACGGUGAAGCCAAGGAGACUGAAGAGCCUUCCAAGACAGAUACUCCACUCAUAGGAAAAUUAACUGAGUUUUAUGCCAACUCCUCCUUCUUCAAGGAAACAAAAGUUGAGUUAGAGCAACUCUCAGGGGGUCAGAAAAAGAAGAAGAUUUCAGUCUACAAGGAGAUCACCUAUGCCACCUCCUUCUGUCAUCAGCUCAGAUGGAUUUCCAGGCGUUCAUUCAAAAACUUACUGGGUAAUCCCCAGGCUUCUGUAGCUCAGAUAAUUGUAACAAUCAUUCUGGGACUGGUGAUAGGUACCAUUUUCUACGAUCUAAAAAACGAUCCUGCAGGAAUCCAGAACAGAGCCGGGGUGCUCUUCUUCCUGACCACCAACCAGUGUUUCAGCAGCGUGUCGGCCGUGGAGCUCCUGGUGGUCGAGAAGAAGCUCUUUAUACAUGAAUAUAUCAGUGGAUAUUACAGAGUGUCAUCUUACUUCUUUGGAAAACUGUUAUCUGAUUUACUCCCCAUGAGGAUGUUACCAAGUAUUAUAUUUACUAGUAUCACAUACUUCCUGUUAGGAUUGAAACCACAGGUGGAGGCCUUCUUCAUCAUGAUGUUUACCCUGAUGAUGGUGGCUUAUUCAGCCAGUUCAAUGGCACUGGCCAUAGCAGCAGGUCAGAGCGUGGUAUCCAUAGCAACGCUUCUCAUGACCAUCUCUUUUGUGUUUAUGAUGAUAUUUUCAGGGCUGUUGGUAAAUCUCAGAACCGUUGUGCCUUGGCUCUCAUGGCUUCAGUACUUCAGCAUUCCUCGAUAUGGCUUUGCGGCUUUGCAGCAUAAUGAAUUUUUGGGACAAAACUUCUGCCCAGGACUCAAUGUAACAACAAACAGUACCUGUAGCUAUGCAAUCACGGCCUUAACAGUAUCAGAAGUGUGUGGCUUAUACGAAGUGCAUGGAUCCGUGAACUUGCAAUUCCUGUGAGCUCAGCGCGUGGCAGUAAGAGCUAAAAGGGCAGCAGGAGCGAGAGAGAGGGAGCAUUUUCCUGCCGCAGCCCUGACUCUUGCCUCUUCCUCCUGCAGUUAGGAGACAACAUGAAAUCACAGUCUGCACAGAUGUACUGGCGAAGAAUUUCUGGAAAACCAGGGCAUCGAUCUCUCGCCUUGGGGCCUGUGGAGGAAUCACGUGGCCUUGGCAUGCAUGAUCGUUAUCUUCCUUACAAUUGCCUACCUGAAAUUGUUAUUCCUUAAAAAAUUUUCCUAAAUUCCUCUUUAAUUUACAUAAUAUACCCCACAUUAAAAAGGGAGCAUCUUGAUUUCAGUA